UACGAAGGGGGCUAGCGUUGCUCGGAAUCACUGGGCGUAAAGGGCGCGUAGGCGGCCAUUCAAGUCAGGGGUGAAAGCCCAAGGCUCAACCUUGGAAUUGCCUUUGAUACUGUUUGGCUUGAGACCGGAAGAGGUUAGUGGAACUGCGAGUGUAGAGGUGAAAUUCGUAGAUAUUCGCAAGAACACCAGUGGCGAAGGCGGCUAACUGGUCCGGUUCUGACGCUGAGGCGCGAAAGCGUGGGGAGCAAACAGG
rnacentral:rRNA from 1 species